rnacentral:rRNA from 1 species
CAGCCGGUACUCCGAAUGCUCUAUGAUUAUGAGUUUGAUCAUUGGCUCAGUAGUNAACGCUGGCGGUAGUGCCUAACACAUGCAAGUCGAACGGCAGCACAGGAGAGCUUGCUCUCUGGGUGGCGAGUGGCGGACGGGUGAGGAAUACAUCGGAAUCUACUCUGUCGUGGGGGAUAACGUAGGAAACUUACGCUAAUACCGCAUACGACCUACGGGUGAAAGCAGGGGAUCUUCGGACCUUGCGCGAUUGAAUGAGCCGAUGUCGGAUUAGCUAGUUGGCGGGGUAAAGGCCCACCAAGGCGACGAUCCGUAGCUGGUCUGAUAGGAUGAUCAGCCACACUGGAACUGAGACACGGUCCAGACUCCUACGGGAGGCAGCAGUGGGGAAUAUUGGACAAUGGGCGCAAGCCUGAUCCAGCCAUACCGCGUGGGUGAAGAAGGCCUUCGGGUUGUAAAGCCCUUUUGUUGGGAAAGAAAUCCAGCCGGCUAAUACCUGGUUGGGAUGACGGUACCCAAGAGAAUAAGCACCGGGCUAACUUCGUUGCCAGUCAGCCGCGGUAAUACGAAGGGUGCAAGCGGUUACUCGGAAUUACUGGGCGUAA